GUGUCCAAGAGACAGAAGACCGAGCACAGCUACAGCAACGUGAACAAACUCCAUCAUGGCUCAUCUGCUGAUAGUGUGGGUUCAGACUCUGAAGUGUGUUCUAGACAUACGAGACUCAGCCCAGUUUAGGGUUACAGGUUUGGAGUAGAGCUACUCCAAGGGAAAAGCCCUUGGGAAUUUUUAAGAGAGAAUGUGCAGCCUUCUCGUGCAUGUCUCAUUGAGUGGAGUUGACAUAUGGCAAGGACCAUGUGGCAAAAGAGGGUUUUCUGGGGAGCUGUCAUGUUUGAAAUUGCAAGUGUCAUGAGGUGAAGUAACUGAGGAGAUCGUCCACAAGAUAGAAGCUGAGGCCAGGAGAGAGGCUUCAAGAGGACCAGUGAGGAGCAGAGAUCACCUCCAGCACAGCUGACAACCCACAGAGGGCUGUGCCACUUGAUCGAGAGGGGAUUGUGGACUACAGUGAAAUCCAGAAGAAAGACAUUCAACAUUGACGCUGAGGAGGACAACUAGGGUGUAAGACUUGCUCUGCCCUCUGCCGGGAAACUGAAGGAUGAAGGGAGCAUGCCAAGCUCCAAUCGACAGCGCACAGAGGGAUUUCACCGAUGGAAUUGUGGUUCUGUGAACAGCACAGACACCAGCAGACUGGGAAUGACUGACAGCAGUUUCCAAAGGGUGAAUGACCACCUAAUAUUGUGUUACUGUGACAUGCGUACUUUGGCACUCUGAAGAGGGUCUUUCCUUUGUGUCAUUUGCAUCAUGAAUACUUCUUCAAGCUGGCUGAAAUUUUGAGCCAUGGGCCAGCCAUGACUCAACAGGAGGGAGAAGAGCACAACAGCUAUAAAACAAAAUAACUGGAUCCAAUUUACUUUUCAAAAAAGAUUUUCUGCAGAGAUGAAAGGACAGUAGAGGAGUUGUAAAUGCAGAUGAUAUGCCAGGUGGCUUUGUUCCCCCCACAGAAAGAAUGCUUGAAGUGAGAAGAUUUGGGGGUUGGUGGAGGCCAUAAAAAAGGGGGCUGCUGACCAGGCCCAAAGCUUUGAAGACAGCCGGAAGCCACAUGGACAAACAACAAAACCAACUGGUGUGUUUGAAUGCCCAUUUCUACAUACAUUUAGACAAGGAAACAUCUGGAAGAGACACUUAUGGAGCACUGUAAAUGAAGCCUACACUGAAACUGUCAAACACAAGGGUGCAUAACUGUAAAUUUAAGUUCAAAAUGACAAACAGGAGGGACUGUUAGGUUGAAAUUGUUAAAUGUUGCCAUUGUACUUAAAUUUGUAAGCCUUGGUUUCAAACUGCAUGAUCAAUGACAUUCAGAGAGCCACUCACUCACGUGCACAUACAUACACACACACACACACGCUUGUACAUGCAUACACACACACACACUCAGUGCCUUAGUUUUAUGACACACCAUAGGGGAUUUUUACAGUGGGUGUUUGUGUAAACUGUGUGUCACAGAAUAAAAGGCUGCAGGGGAGACUGGUUCUUUGGAGUGGUCUGAGACCGAGGGCAGAGGUGCUGCUCUGAGAUGCUCCCCUUGCUAGCAUGUAAAAACCG